rnacentral:rRNA from 1 species
CGAUUCCUACGGGAGGCAGCAGUAAGGAAUAUUGGUCAAUGGACGAAAGUCUGAACCAGCCAUGCCGCGUGAAGGAUGAAGGUCCUCUGGAUUGUAAACUUCUUUUAUAUGGGACGAAAAAAGGGUUUUCUAACUCUACUGACGGUACCAUAUGAAUAAGCACCGGCUAACUCCGUG